rnacentral:rRNA from 1 species
UACGGAGGGUGCGAGCGUUGUCCGGAAUCACUGGGCGUAAAGGGCGCGUAGGCGGCGCGGUAAGCACGCGGUGAAAGCCCGGGGCUCAACCCCGGGUCGGCCGUGCGGACUGCCGCGCUGGAGCACUGUAGAGGCGGGCGGAAUUCCGGGUGGGGCGGUGGAAUGCGUAGAGAUCCGGAAGAACACCGGUGGCGAAGGCGGCCCGCUGGGCAGUGGCUGACGCUGAGGCGCGACAGCGUGGGGAGCAAACAGG